GAGUCCAUAACAUAACCCUGUGUCCAUCUUCUACCUGGUUAGGUUUCCGCCCUUCUUUCGUCUUCUUCCUCAAAAUUCAUUUCAUUUCAACUUUUAACCUCUUCUUCUCCCCCUUCUUCGUCGUAGUGGUGUGUUUGUGAAGUUGAUUCGGCGUGGAAAUGAUGGGAAUAGUAAAAGGUUUGAGCAGGAAGAAAGCGUGUUGGUUUGGUUUGGCGGUGACAGUGUUUGGAGUUAGGGCAAAGUGAAGAAGGCCCCUGUCCCUUGCUGAGUUAUUGCAUGGCGACGCUCGCAACUUCUUCCAUAUCAAUGAUGAUCUCAGGGGUUGUAUGAAAAGGCGUGGGUUGCAUUCUAGUAUGGAAUCGCGACUUAGACUUCUCCCCUCACAUUGUUCCCUCCCUUCAACAUAGUCACUGUUCCGCCACCAACGCGCUUCCUGCGUUGAUUACAAACUCCUCUCUGAUCCACGCCAACAAACAUUUCUGCUUUAUUUCAUCAAUUUGUAAAUCGUCGAUAUUCAUUAUUCACUAACCUAAUUUUCUCCACAUUAUUCCUGUUUUUUUGGUCAUUUCUGCAACUUUUUCAUUUUACAUAAAUACUGAUCCACAUUUUUUGUUAUAUUGUCAGAACUUGACGUUGGUGGUGAUUCGCAUAUUUGAUCUGUAACAGUAGCGAACGCUCAGGUAAGAAAAUCGUAAGUUUCAAUUGCUAUAGACUUUUUCCUUGAUUCGAUUCCGAAGAGAAGAUUCGUUUCUUCCUCGUAUGAAUCUGUCCGCUAUUGAUAUUAUAAUUUCUCUUUGUCUAAUAAGUCUUUUAAUAGAAAAUCAAAUGGUGAUAAUUUCCUCAAGUUCUUUCAGCUUGCCUAAUUGGGUUUAUUUUAUGUGAAUCUGUAUGAAAAACACAUUUUUAAUUAGCUUGUUAGUUUCAUUAUUUAUGCAUUAUGAACAAAAAGUUCAAACUCCACCGAUAAUCCUGCCUGACAAUUUUCAAAUUUACGGACUCUUUCGGUGGACACAACAUUUAAAUAAGAUUUUAUUUUUUUACUUAACUACCUUUUAUGCUUAAAUUUGUGAUUUAAUUUAAACAUUUUCAAAAAUAAUUCAGUUUAAUCUAAUUUUUUUAGUCAAAAUUUAAAAAUACAUUCAAUGAAAAAAAUGAUCAAUACAUAUAUAGUGUAGGGAAGCAGGGCUCGUAUAUAAUUCCGCUUCUCGAGAUUCUAACUAUUUUGGACAAAAAAAAAAUACUUGCAUGUUCUUCUCAAAGUGUAAUAAGAUCAAAUAAACAAAAUAUCUUAAUAAACCCCUAUCCAACAUCUAUCGUAUCAAAUUUUUAUUUUAAAAUAUAAAAUAAUUUUAAAACAUCAACUACAAAAUUAAAAAUAUUGUUUUAUAUUGUGGUAUAGGGGUAGAAAAGUUGUGUGUUAAAAUUUUCCUAAAAGGAGGGCAAAACGUUUCAAGAAUCUAAAUGGUGUUUACCUAUCAUCACAGUAAAAUCCCUUCACACAAUAUGGUGAAGUAUGGUUAUUAAAUAAAUGUACUUUUGCAACACGGGAUCAUGGUUUGAUCUAUAUAGACUUGUAUUAGUAACAGUGUAUUUAGAGAUAAAAAAAAUGAAAAACAAUUUCGUAGAUAAAUUUAUUCUUAAUAAAACUUUUAAAUUAAUUUCAACGAUAAUGGCUUCACAAAGUUGUGCUAGACUAUUUUAAUUAGGAUUAUCAAAUACAUAAAAUAUCAAUAAUGCAUGAGUGUGAUCUAUAUACGUAAAGUUAACCAAAAUGAUAUAGGCAUUAAUCAUGUGUAAUCCAAAACAAAAUCAAAUAUUAGCUUGAUUAAAACAUGUUGCAGAAAAAUAAGAAUUUUGGUUUCUCAUUGUUCUAAACCGAAUUUUGGUUUUCAUGUUGCAGAAAAGAAACUUCAUAGGUACUUUAUACUCAACUCCAAGGUUACCUACCAAUCAUAAUUUCUAUCAAUAAUAGUUCACAUAGCCUCUAGGUCAUCAAAUAUGAUUUUUAUUCAUGGCAUGUGUAAUCCAAAACAAAAUCAAACAUUGUAACCUAUGCAUAAAAAUAAGAAUGAGAAUACACAGAGACUAGAAAAUAGAGAAAGAUUAAACAAGAAUGACGUAAACCCCUUGUCUUAAUGAGAUGGCUGAUUUAGGAUAUGUAGGGUUAGAAUUAGGGAAUUUGAAAAAUUAGUCAGAUAGGAGUUGAUGUAACAACUUUUCCAUUCCAAUCAAUGGAGCACCUUUCUUGCCAACACUCACUCACCUUUAUAUGUAACACCAAAUAACGUUAUAAACAAGCUUCCUUUUUUAAACAUAGGAGUUGAUGUAUUUCAUUCACAUCUACACCAUUUUAUUAAUGUAAAACGUAGGGGUGGGCAAACUGUACUAUUUGCACUGCACUGUAAACUAAUUAUAAUUAACUACAAAAUAGUUUACAUAAACUGGACUGCACUAAAAGGUAGUUUAAGAGAACUAUACUGAACUGUUUUUUAGUUUAGUUAACUAUAGUAUAAUUAAAUAAACUGUUUUUUAAUUUAAUAAAAAUAAACUGGUUAACAGUGGGUAUCAACUCCUUGUUGCGUUCUUAUUCUCUAUCAAUCUGUAAACUUUAAGUUGUAAUCAACUAAAGUUGCAGAGAUAUAGAGCUAUUAUGACUGGUCAUGAUAAUCUAUAAAAAUUGCUAUCACACUUGAUGUGACAAUCUCUGUUACUACUGCCACAUUCGUCUAACAUUUCAAAGUUACAUUAUAUUUGACUAGUUUUCUAUUAAUUUAUUUAUAAUAAUAGAUUUUUUAAAAUUAAUAGGAAAUUAUUCUGACUUAAACAGUUAUCUCAUUUGCUCUUUGUUUUGAUCGAAAUGACUUUUAUUAAUGUUUUUAUGUAUCAAAAUUACUCUGGAAAAAGAAAUUGAUGAAGAUUUAUUUUAUAUAGAAGUGCAUAUAGCGUCGCAGAGGAAGAAAUUCCGCGGAUAAGGAAUAUGUACAGUUAACUAGUUAACUGCAUUAAAGUGGAAUAAAGUUCAAUUUAUUUUAACUGAACUUUAAAACAAUUAAUUAGUUUUUAGUUAAAAUAAGUUCAGUUAUUUUAAGUAUAAUGUAGUAUAAUUAACUAUAGUUUUAGUAUAAUUUAUUGAAUUAUGCCCUGACAUCACAAAGAGUAAAAGAAAAAUCAUUGAUAAAUAAAAUUUGUGCUAUGGUUCUCUUUCUUUUUCUUCAUUUUCUCUUCUUUCUUUUUCUCACAUUCUUUCUUCACUUUCUAUUUCAUCUUUUAUUUUUUUGUUUUUUCCUUCAAUUUAUGUUCUUUCUUAUUUGCUUGGUGUCAUAAACUUCAGUUUAAUUUGAUGUCCCUCGUGUCUUAGAUAAAACGAGUGUUCAAUGAGAUCAAAUGUUUUAAAACGAAGCAAUAAUCAUCCUAAAAGAUGAGUAAAGUUUAUGAGAGCAAUAUCACAUAAUAUUUCUUUUAUGCACUGUCUCAUAAUGAAUCUCAUUCAUCCUUCAUUUGGAUGAGAGUUUGUUGGUAAGUGGAGUUUCUCCUUCAAUCUUUGACUCACAACAAUGUUAUUUCUUCUAUAAUCGCAUGGAAGUAAACAUAGGUACCUUCAACUAAACACAUUUUAUAGUUUUUAUUACUAUUUUAAAUCUAGAAUCAAACUCAAAUGAUGUAAAUCUCAUUUAUACAAAGACUGAUUUAGAAUUUUCAGAGUUAAAACUUAUAGAAAAUUUGAAAAAUCAAUGAGAAUGUAAACUCAAAAGUAGCUAGAAUUCCAAAUUAAACAAAUUUUAAAAUUGAUUUAAAAACAAAAGAAGAAUUCACAUUCUGAAUUUUAAUUUAAGCUUAAAAACCACUUAAUUUGGAUGAAUAAAUAACAUAAGGAAAGACAAAAAAGGAAACACAUAGAUGAUGGGAGGAAUUAUUUUGGUUCUCCAUAAAAAAAACCAAGGCAUAUGUAAUCUGUUAUGGAAACUAACUUUUUGCACAGCAAAAGAAAAAUACAAAAGCAUAGUAUCUAACAUGGUUAAUGCAAUAUCUAGCGAAAUCUAUUUCUUUGGGAUUUAUUAUUAUUACGCUUAAGAUCAUUGACCACAUAAUCUUUCAUCCACUUUCGUUGCUACACUUUCCUUUUGGGCUUCACAUGCUAACUUUAUUGGUCUUCUAAUUCCUCAUUUGAGUUAGAGCCCAUUUCAAUCUCUUCCUCUGCCUUCGGCCCAUAUCUUUGAAACAAUCUAAAAAUAAAGAAAAAAAAACUAUUGUAAUUUAUUGUUAUUUUUCGAAGAAAUUUUAUUGCCACAUAUACUCAUUCACAUGUUAACUUUUGUUGGGACUAAAUUUUUUAAUAAUUUUAGUAAUAUUAGUAAUGAAAAGUAUAUAUUUUAAAAUAUACAUAUUCGUAAUAGUUCACCAUAUUAAAACUUUAGUAUUUUGGAUUAUUUUAACAAUAAAUUUACACUACUUUUAUUUUUGUGGAAAUCUCGUAAACCCCUUUUGUCUCAGUAAAUAAUUUGUCUGGAUAUAACACUACUUACUCGGUAUCCGAAUGAAAGAGAUUAAAUAUUCAUAAACUCUAAACUAUUCUCCACUAAAAUUAUAAUAAAAAAAGAGAUAAAAAGUAAACUUUUUUUUAUUAAUAUUGGAAUACAAAUUUCAAAAGAUAUUUUUGGAUCAUAAAUACUUUUUAAAAUAUACAUUUUCUGCAUGAUAAAAUUACUGUUGCACGGCCGAAACAUUUUGCAACCCUUAAACCCUAAAACGAAGAUCCUCUUUCCAAACAUUAUGCACCCUUAAACCCUCAUGUCUAUCCUCAUUCGUGUUACUCGCCAAAAUCCCUCCACCGCUACCCUCCUCACGCGCCACCUCUCAUCCGCAGCCUCCAAACUCCACUCUUCAUACACUUUCAAACCACCGUCGUCUCUCACUCCCGAGCCGGAAUGCCCCAAUUCCCCUCCCACCAAGCCCAACCAAAAGAAACCCAAGCCCAAGUACCGGCCUCCCUCCUCCCUCGACCCGGCCGGCCGCAAGCCGGUUCGUUCCAAUGAUCUGCCAUUUGAUUUCCGGUUUAGCUACACGGAGAGCAGCCCAAAGGUGCGACCCAUCGGGCUCAGGGAGCCCAAGUAUUCUCCCUUUGGGCCGGGCCGGCUCGACCGGAAGUGGACCGGUGUGUGUGCGCCAGCCGUGGACCCCACUGUGGAGAGCUUAGAGGCUGCGGAGGACCCUAAGUUGGAGGAACAGAGGAAGAAGAAGAGAGAGAUGAUUCAAGGGAAGCCCCUCACCACUGAUGAGAGAAAGGCAUUGGUAUCGCAAUUUGAGAAAAGCAAAACUAAUAGGCAUGUCAAUCUCGGUAUGAAAGUUGAAAGACGCUUGAUGUUUUUCUUAAUUAGGAUCGGGAAUGUGAAAAAUAAUACGAGAAUUGUAAAAAUAUGGGACUAACUUCGAAAUUUAUGAAUACUAGUCAAUGUUAAAUUGUUUUUAAGAAUAUAGAAGUAUAUCUCAUUUAGUGUCGUGUCAUAUCAUGUCGUGUGAUCCUUAUAUGUCUCCUCACCUAAUGUAAGAGGGCUUUUGUUGUUUUUGAAAACAAUCAAAAGGGCACGCUUAAAAUAUGUUGAAGUUUGUCACCUUUGUUUUUGUUUUUGAAUUUUUGUGCCAGUAAGGUGGUUUUUCAUACGAACUUUUUGAAUUGUUGCUUGGUUUAUAUAUUCUAGUUUUAUUAGACAGAUAGCAUGAUUUUCUAUGGAGUUUUGCUUGAUGAGACAGACAACGCGAUGUUCUGUGGUUCUUUCACUGUUAGUUUUUGUGCUUUUUGUUGGGAUGGUCGUGUUAAUAAAUGAAUAAGUCUAUUGUUUUUGAUAGCAAUUGUUGUGGACAUGUAUUGGAUGGGUAAGCGAGGAGGUGUAUGAAAUGUUGUUUUCCUUUGUACUUGUUUUGAGGAAAAUCCUGGCACAUUGACAUUUAAAUAAAGGUUAUUGGUUCCGAUGUUGUGAAUUUGGUAUUGCCUUCUCCUUAGUCCAUUCAGUUUGUUCGUGCCUUUCUCGAGCAACUGAGAUAUUUUUUCAUAGAAAAGGCUAAAUAAAGUAACCAGAAUUUAUUCUUUUUUCAAAUGUUUUCUUCAAUCUUUAUCUUAUCUAUUAACGACAAACUUUGAUUGUUUUGCUUUCAGGAAGGGAUGGUUUAACUCACAACAUGCUGAAUGUUAUUCAUAAUCAUUGGAAAUUUGCUGAAGCAGUUAGAAUUAAAUGCAUGGGUGUUCCAACUAUGGACAUGAAAAAUAUUUGUACCCAGCUUGAGGUUCAUGUCUAUUUAUACUUUUUUACUUCUUCUGUACCUUGCAUGAUAAGUAAAGUAUUACAUUACUAUUCAUUUUGAAAAACGUGGACUUAUAUGAUAAUUGAACUUCAGAUUGCAUUGUCUGUGAUGCUUAUGUUUAAACUUGUCUGAUAACGUGUAUAAGUAAUUCUUGUGUUCUUGUUGCAGGAUAAAACGUUUGGGAAGGUCAUCUUCAGACAUGGAGGUACACUUAUAUUAUACAGAGGCAGGAAUUAUAAUCCGAAAAAGAGAUCUAUUGUUCCUCUCAUGUUGUGGAAGCCCCAUGAACCUGUAUAUCCCAGACUGAUUAAGACAACAAUCGAUGGCUUAAGUAUUGAGGAAACGAAAAAAAUACGGAAGAGGGGACUAGCUGUUCCUGCUUUAACUAAGCUUGGUGUGUGUGUUGUUUUUUGUUAUUUCAGUUGCCAGUAUGCUUUUGCAAACAUUAUUUAUCGACUCUGAACUGAAUUGCAGCCAAAAAUGGUUAUUAUGCUUUUUUGGUACCCAUGGUCAGAGAUGCUUUCCUCUCGUGUGAAUUGGUUCGGAUAGACUGUGAGGGGCUUGAAAGGAAAGAUUACAAGAAAAUAGGCUGCAAACUCAGGGUAAAGACAAUUAAUUAUCUUUAGCUUUGCUGAGUAUAUUAUUGUAAUUGGCAGCUUUACAAUGCUGUAUUCGCCAUAUAGUUUUCUCGUGUCGCAUCAUUAUAACAAAAAAUGCCUUUUUCAGGUUGCAUUAUUAGGUAGUACCUCAGUAUAAGUUUUAAAAUUGAGUCUGUUUGGGAAUUAAAUAGGUUAUACUUGUUUUGCUGUUUUUUAAUUUUUUGUCCUUCACCGUUCACAAACAUACCAUAAUAUUCUUUAUAAUAUGGUUAUGCACUUACUCCCUGUGAAUAGUCAGAGGUAGCGUGACUUGUAUAGUAGUCUCAUCAUUAUCAUUUUUCUUCUAUUGAUGGAGAGGUGAAUGGAAAAAUUUUGUGCAUUUUUUCUAGUUGAAGUAGUUAUUGUCCCUAAAAAUAUCAUUUUUUGGGUCUAGUUCCUAUAAAAGUUUUAUUUGGUUUUUGUCCGUAAAAAUUGCAAAAUAGAAAUCUCUUAUUUGUUUAGUUCUUUUAUGAAUGACGAUAGAGCUCUCUCAAUCUCCCAACUUAUUUUUUAAGGCAAUAUGCCUUGUUUCUUCUACCAUCUCAGACCACCUAUCUAAAUCCCUCAAUAACAGAACUAACUUACUAACUACUAAUGGAGUUUUUAAGUCAAACCAAUGGAGUGAGGAGUAAGUUUUCUUUAUAAUUAUGUAACUUGAAGGGAAAUAACAAUGAUAGUGGCAACGGUAAGUGAUACACGAAUGACGGCACUCUGCUCUACAUUCCAAACAUAUAGAGAAGACAUGGUCCCCUGUAUUCUGAUUUAAGUUGCUCAUUUUCGAUUAUCUUGUGUAUUAAUGCAGGACAUGGUCCCCUGUAUUCUGGUGACUUUUGAGAAUGAACAAGUUGUGGUUUGGAGGGGGAAGGAUUAUAAGCCUCCCAAGGAUGGACACUUUCUUAAAGAUAGAGAAUCAUUUGAAGACGGCAAUGACGACUUAAAUGUGGCACAAGAGCAACAGGCUAUUUAGCACUAUAAUCAGGUGUGAAUCAGAAAUUCCCUUGAGAUUGGAAUGUUAUGUUCUGUGCAAAUGCGGUGAUUAUGGGAAUCUGGGAUAGUUUACUGCCAAAUUUUAUGCUUCUAUUUCGAUAUAAUAAGAUAUCUAAACUGUUUAUUUUGACUUGGAAAUGAUGGGAAUAGUAAAAGGUUUGAGCAGGAAGAACGCUAGUUGGUUUGGUUGGGCGGUGACAGUGUUUGGAGUUAGGGAAAAGUGAAGAAGGCCCCUGUCCCUUGCUGAGCUAUUGCAAUGCGACGCUCGCAACUUCUUCCAUAUCAAUGGUGAUUUCAGGGGUUGUAUGAAAAGGCGUGGGUUGCAUUCUAGUAUGGAAUCACAACUUAGACUUCUCCCCACACUUUGUUCCCUCCCUUUGACCCAAUCACUGUUCCGCCACCUAUGCUGUUCCUGCUAUGAUUACAACCUUCUCUCUGAUCCAUGCUUCCAAACAUUUCUCCUUUAUUUCAUCAGUUUAUGUAAAUGGUAUUGCACUUGUCGUUAUUCAAUAUUCACGAACGUAUAAUUUGCUAUGAUUUUUCGUUGUCUUUUGGGUUAUUUCAGCAACAUAUAAUGUUUUUCCCUUAAAUUAUUUGUACUAAAAUAGACUGUGUUAUUGUCAGAACUUGACGAUGGUGUGGUAAGGUGCAUACUCGAUCUGAAUCAGCAGGGCACAUACAGAUGGGUAAUGAUAUAUUUUUAUUCAGCUAUUUUGGGUUAAAAUUUCAUCAUCAUUUAUAGGAGAAGGAAAUUGGAAAAUAAAAUUGACUAAGUUUCUCCUGUGCUAAAUUGGAAAAUAAAGGCAGCUAGUGUACAAGCUAAAUUAUUGUAGCUUGUCAUUCAUGCAGGUUUUCCAUGUGCUGCUAUUGUAUUGUUUUUCUUUUUUCUGUAUAAAUGUAGUCGAUAAGGAAACUUGAGUUAGUUUACUGGCAAGGUUGAUACUUUUAUUUGGAUAUAACAAGAUAUCUAAACUGUUAUUUGUCCAUGACUAUUAUAUGCCUUAGCUGUUGUAAGGAAAAAUGUGAAUAUAUAUGAGCUUUUAAUCAUAUGCUUGCCAUUGACAGUGCAGAACUGCAGAUAUUUUGGGGUUGGAAUUUUUCAUAUUCCUAUGAUCUGCAAUGGUGUACACAGCUGUUCUAUUUGGAGUCAGAAUGGAAGUGCUUAUCAAGAAUUUUUUACCAUUGUUUGUCACAAAUAUAUAACAGUCAAGUAGUAUUGAAUUCUUGUUUUGCUAUAAUAGAAGUGGAGUACAAAGGCCUUCUGCAUGAUAUUUAGCUACAAGUAUCCAAGCAGCAUAUACUUCCAUAAGUUCCAUUCAUUAUGCAAUAUAAUUAUUGCAUGUGUUUUCAAUUAUAUAUGGCUUUAGCUUGAUCUUAGAAAGAAUUUUUUUUUACAUAGCUUAUUGUUAUAUGCAUGCUUAGUUAUUUGUAACUAAAUAUGAUGUGGAACAUCUUUGGAAUGGACUUUGGUAUUUCAUGAUGUCAGAAUCUUGGACUGAAAUCGAGUUGUCACCAUUACCAAAUUGAAAAUUUAAAUGUACAUAUUAGUAUGUUUCUUACAGUUCCAUGUUUGAUUAGUUUAGUCUUACAAAUUUCUUAUUUCAAUACUUAUUUUGGUC
rnacentral:lncRNA from 1 species